rnacentral:rRNA from 1 species
AAUCGGUGCUAAUACCGGAUAAUAAAAAGAACUGCAUGGUUCUUUUUUGAAAGAUGGUUUCGGCUAUCACUUACAGAUGGGCCCGCGGCGCAUUAGCUAGUUGGUGGGGUAACGGCUCACCAAGGCGACGAUGCGUAGCCGACCUGAGAGGGUGAUCGGCCACACUGGGACUGAGACACGGCCCAGACUCCUACGGGAGGCAGCAGUAGGGAAUCUUCCGCAAUGGACGAAAGUCUGACGGAGCAACGCCGCGUGAGUGAUGAAGGUUUUCGGAUCGUAAAACUCUGUUGUUAGGGAAGAACAAGUGCCGUUCGAAAGGGCGGCACCUUGACGGUACCUAACGAGAAAGCCACGGCUAACUACGUGCCAGCAGCCGCGGUAAUACGNNUAGGUGGCAAGCGNUUGNUCCGGAAUUAUUGGGNCGUAAAGCGCGCGCAGGCGGUCUCUUAAGUCUGAUGUGAAAGCCCCCGGCUCAACCGGGGAGGGUCAUUGGAAACUGGGAGACUUNGAGUACAGAAGAGGAGAGUGGAAUUCCACGUGUAGCGGUGAAANUGCGUAGAGAUGUGGAGGAACNACCAGUNNGGCNGAAGGCGACUCUCUGGUCUGUAACUGACGCUGAGGCGCGAAAGCGUGGGGAGCAAACAGGAUUANGAUACCCUGGUAGUCCACGCCGUAAANCGAUGAGUNGCUAGGUGUUAGGGGUUUCGAUNGCCCNUUAGUGCCGAAGUUNANACACAUUNAAGCACUNCCGCCNUGGGGNAGUACGANCCNGCAAGGUUGAAANCUCAAAGGAAUUGACGGGGGCCCGCACAAGCAGUGGAGCAUGUGGUUUAAUUCGAAGCAACGCGAAGAACCUUACCAGGUCUUGACAUCCUUUGACCACCCUAGAGAUAGGGCUUUCCCCUUCGGGGGACAAAGUGACAGGUGGUGCAUGGUUGUCGUCAGCUCGUGUCGUGAGAUGUUGGGUUAAGUCCCGCAACGAGCGCAACCCUUGACCUUAGUUGCCAGCAUUCAGUUNGGGCACUCUAAGGUGACUGCCGGUGACAAACCGGAGGAAGGUGGGGAUGACGUCAAAUCAUCAUGCCCCUUAUGACCUGGGCUACACACGUGCUACAAUGGAUGGUACAAAGGGUUGCGAAGCCGCGAGGNUGAAGCCNAAUCCCAGAAAGCCAUUCUCAGUUCGGAUUGCANGGCUGC